rnacentral:rRNA from 1 species
CUAAUCCGAACCCGCCAGAUCUCAUCUGAUCUCAGAAGCUAAGCAGGGUUGGGUCUGGUUACUAUUUGGAUGGGAGGCCUCUCUCUUAAGGAGCAGCCC